AUUGCAUUACUGCUCGCUGCCCCUUUAACUCAGCAACUUGAGGUUCUGAAGUUUUGUUACAGUGGAGCAAUGGGUCCGGACAAGUGGGGCAGCUUGAGUCCACAAUUCAGCGCAUGAUCCAACGGAAAGCUUCAGUCCCCUGUGAACAUUGUGAUGAAGGACGCUGUCUACAAUCCCAAG